UACGUAGGGGCCUAGCGUUGUCCGGAUUUAUUGGGCGUAAAGAGCUCGUAGGUGGUUCGGUAAGUCGGAUGUGAAAUCUCCAGGCUCAACCUGGAGGGGUCAUUCGAUACUGCCGUGACUAGAGUUCGGUAGGGGAGUGUGGAAUUCCUGGUGGAGCGGUGAAAUGCGCAGAUAUCAGGAGGAACACCGGUGGCGAAGGCGGGUCUCUGGGCCGUAACUGACGCUGGAGGAGCGAAAGCAUGGGGAGCGAACAGG
rnacentral:rRNA from 1 species